CCUCUACUUUUAUAACGUCACAAGGAGGCCGGAGUAAUUUUUGGGGCAUUUUUAGGAUUUUCCUACUAUUUAUUAUAUUUUUUCAAAGAUUUUUGCACUAAAAAAGCUAAAAUAAUUGCAAGAGGACACCUGGUGCGAUCUCAACCCAUCACCUUUCACCACUUGCACAAGUGUACGUCAGUCAACAUGGCCACAUCCUUG
rnacentral:lncRNA from 1 species